rnacentral:rRNA from 1 species
UGAGUAAUGUCUGAAAAACUGCCUGAUGGAGGGGGAUAACUACUGGAAACGGUAGCUAAUACCGCAUAACGUCGCAAGACCAAAGAGGGGGACCUUCGGGCCUCUUGCCAUCGGAUGUGCCCAGAUGGGAUUAGCUAGUAGGUGGGGUAACGGCUCACCUAGGCGACGAUCCCUAGCUGGUCUGAGAGGAUGACCAGCCACACUGGAACUGAGACACGGUCCAGACUCCUACGGGAGGCAGCAGUGGGGAAUAUUGCACAAUGGGCGCAAGCCUGAUGCAGCCAUGCCGCGUGUAUGAAGAAGGCCUUCGGGUUGUAAAGUACUUUCAGCGGGGAGGAAGGCGAUAAGGUUAAUAACCUUGUCGAUUGACGUUACCCGCAGAAGAAGCACCGGCUAACUCCGUGCCAGCAGCCGCGGUAAUACGGAGGGUGCAAGCGUUAAUCGGAAUUACUGGGCGUAAAGCGCACGCAGGCGGUCUGUCAAGUCGGAUGUGAAAUCCCCGGGCUCAACCUGGGAACUGCAUUCGAAACUGGCAGGCUAGAGUCUUGUAGAGGGGGGUAGAAUUC